UUGAAAUACUUUUUAUAUCUUAGUCCUGCAUUUAUUUCUGAAUGUAGGAAUCACUGCUAUUUUUCAUUAUUAUUAUUUGGAAAGUGAAGCCUUCAUCAUAAACAAUCUUUCUGUGCAAGUUUUUUGGCAGCCAGUGAGAUCUGUGAGUUACAUCUUUGAGAGAGAUCUUAUUUAUUAGGUACUUACAGCUGAGAGUGGGUGAGAAGAAGUGGAUGAAGCAAUGAUUUUUCUCCAUGAGACACCAUGAGGUUAUAAGAAUGUGUGCUGGUUUUUUUUGAACAGACACACAGUAUUCACCACAUUUUGGACAUCACUUAGAAACCUUUCUGUGCAGAAUUCGAAAAUAUUCGAAAAUAUCUACAGCUUUAGAAAACCCUACACUUAUUUUAUCCUAUAGGAAAAAAAAUUCAUAUUUAACCUUUUCAUAUUUUAAAUCACAUUCUAAACAGACUAAUCAUUUUCAGGUUGUAAGUUUGUGAUAAUGGGAUAGAAGAAAAUCAUAGGAAAUGAUAAACACAUCUGAGAACUCUAAUGAGAUCCUUUAAGAAGGACUGUAAUAUGUUUUCGUAUUUUCAUGCCUCACUUGCCUAGGUAGCAAGGGAAAACUCCUGACUCUCUGCAGCUUCCCACAUCAUAGUGGAGUGGAGUGUGGGCUUGUAACACGAUCAUGGCUUAGUUUUUUGUUUUUUUUUUAAAAAAAAAAAAAAAAAAACAACUAAGAGAAACCAACUAAGAGAAACAAAACACGGAAGAAAGACCAGAAAAUUGCCAGUACCAAUUCAUUUUCACCCCACAAAGGAUGAACAUUUCCUUCACUAAUUGCAGCUGUGUUCAAUGUCAUCAGUAUCACUCUGCUGUAAAAAUGUCAGUGUUUCCAAGCAAUUGUGGAAUACAGGAUGUCUUGUCUAAUUUCUCUCAUGCUAAGUUAUCCUCUGACUACAUGAGUUUAUACAGCCUUUCAUAUGAUGUUCAGCCAAUGCUGCUUUGCCAUUGAUUCAGACAGCACUUUGCCUGAUUGAUAACUUCUUUCUCUUUUGUUUGGUUGUGCUCUAUUAAAUAAUAUUGAAAGGUUAGCAUUUAUCUUUAACCUCUAAUAAUUUUCAGUUGAAUGAGAACUAACUUCUUUUAGCCAAGUUUGGCUAGAAAAAUUAGAAUUAUCCUACUAUCAACCGUAAUUUUAGUUCUUUCUUCAGAACAAUGCAGAAAAAAGGUUUUAAAACUGAUUUGCCCAUUAAGAUAAAAAAAGGAAUACCAUUAAUUACUACUGAGGUGACAGUGCUGGGUGCUUGUGUCAUCUCUCUGAAGUCAGUGCGACUAAACAGGACUAUAAAUACUCCCCACAAAACUAGGAUCUCAAGAAGUGCACUUGCGAAUCCAGCUGAAUUGCACUGCAGCCGAGGCUAAUCAUUCUGCGGUAUCAGGCUUUUAACCUUUAGUGUGCACAGGUCCUUUUUAGCAAUGACAAUAAUUAUGACAGUUCUGAAGAAAACAGCCACACAACAACCAAAACAGAUAUAAAAGUACUCAUUCUGAGGCUCAAUGAAUCAACAAAUAAAGAAAAGGUCACUUUUCAGUUCUCAAUUACAAAUGAUAAUUUUCUCCCUCUUAAAAUAUGUUUAAAUACUUGCAUAAAGAAAAUUAUGACUGAAUGUGCCUAGCUCUGUUUAAACUGUCUUGGCUGCUGUUUUCAUUUGAAGUGACACCUCUGGUUUUGAACUUGUACUGUUUAAAAACUGUGAGAGCCAAGAAAUUGAAUUAAGCUGUGCCUCUGGGAUUUCAGAUAAGUCCAGAAUGUUUUUUCAAAUAACAUAUUAGUUCCACAGCUCUAUUUUAAAAUUAAAUGAUGGAUAACUUGUUUUUAUGCUCUAACAUAUGGCCCUCAAUCUUCCAAGAUGUCUGUGCAUACUUCAUGUUGUGCAAGAGUCACCCUACUGAACUUAAUAGGACUAUUCAGACAGUUGACAUUAAGCAUGUAUGCAAAUCUUUGCAAGACUGGAACCUAACGUGAUUAUAAUAAGCCCAUUUCAGUGCAAAUCUAAGUAUAAAGAGCUUCAAAACUGAGGUCAAAAUAAAAGAACUUGCACAAGUCUGUCAUACUAAAAGAGUACCAAAAUGCUGGGGGAAAAAAAUGCACACUAAAACCUUCUGAUAAAUUUCAAACUAUGUUCUCACAUAAAGAGGGAAAAAUUAGGCAGUCAAACUGCUCGUUGCAGUAACUGAAAUUUUACUUACUGUGAAACUGUCUCCUCAACAGUCAACUCAUUUACUGCAAUGUCUAUUUUAUAGAUUUUUGUUGUUGUGCUUUAUGGAUAGGAUUGUGCUUUUGCACAGAUGUACUUUGGGGGUGAGCUGGGAUUUUAUGUCAAAUGAUAUGCUUUAUUUAUUUCUGAUCUCAUGCAGAAAAUAAAAUAUAUUUAAUAUCCUU
ensembl:lncRNA